ACAAACAGCCCCAGCUGGUGACUCCAGAUCUGGAGUGUAAUUUGACUCAUUUGAGAGUUUAGAGUCAGCCAGAGCCUUCCCCCUACAGCUCCCCUGGGGGGGAGGGGCAUGAGACAGGUCACUUUGCCCAAAUGACAAGUUGGUGAUGACCCGGGACUCUGUUGUGAUGCAGUGAUUGUUGGGUCAGCCCCCAGGGGCUGCAGCAUUUCACACCAGGCUGUCACCUAGAGCACAUGGCUGCUACCUGUGGGUCUGAGUACAGGGACCAGGGUGAUGGAGCAGGGCCUUUGGGACCAACCUGCUUCCAUUGCUAAAGGGAAUGUGAGACACAGAAGGAUGAAGGAAAGUAUUCUUGUCCAACUGCAAAGUGAUCUCUUAUUUCUGUUGAUUUGAUCACUGCCGCUUGUCUGUCAGAAGUAGUAAGAGAUCCUGUUCAUACCAAGAGGUAAGGAAUGCACCUUCUCCUAGCAAUGGAGUGGAAACUAACCAAUCUCAGUGUACUUUCAGGUGAAGAAAGUGAAUCUAGCCUUUGCUGUCAAAGGCUACAAGCAGUUUCAUAAGAAGAAAGCAAGAUACAUAACCAAAGCUUCUGAGGUUACAGAAGUAUUGACUUGCUCUAGCCAAGAAUAAGGAAAGCACUUAUACCUACUAGAUUAACAGUACAGCUGAUUGUAUGGAGAGAAAGAGAGAAACUAAUCCAGCAAUUCAUCACGCAGAAGGUGGUCAUAUUUCAAGAUGCAAGGAUGACACAUGGCUGUAGUUUACAGGAAGGAAUUAGCUGAUCCAUCCUUUUAAGGAGGUAAGAAAUAUGGGAAUGAUGUAUUGUAAUAGUCAAUGGUUCUGGUCAUCCAUUCAGGUGGAAGGAAGGUAACUGAGGAAAUCUUCAUCUCUCUAAAGAGCACAAGAAAUUGCGGUACUGAAUAAAGCACUAAAAAUGGGAGCUACCUGUUCAGAUGAAAGGAAAGUAAUUGGUAAUUCUAACCAAUGAUGAUGAUCUUUGUUCCUUUUUCCUUCCCAGAGAAGGCCAUUGCUUGUUCCUACAAGGAUGUAACAGGGAAGUUAUUUCAAAGAACAAGUGCAACUAACCAGAGUGUGAUGAUGAGCAUUGAGCCUGUUCUUCCAUUUGCAGAGAGGAGUUGUCCAGCUGAUUCUAUUUGUGCCUAAUUGAUCAUUGUUGCUUAUUUUUCAGAUGUCAAGAAAUAAGCGGAACUGAUCAUUUCUAUCAAGAGGUAAGGAACGCACCUCCUCACAGCAUGGAGGCAGGAAUGAAAGGCUCUGUUUCUAUUUUCAGGUGAAAGGAAGGUCUUACGAUUCAAGGGAGGAUGAGAGGCUGCUGAAUUUAAGAAAAAAAGUCAGACAGGUAACAAUACUUGGCCAGAGGGAAAACCAUCUUUUACUUCUAGUUCAGAAAAAGGCAAGCAGCCAUUUAUAAGCUUCAGGUUUUAACCAGUGUAGCUAGCUGUACCGCUAAGAAUCAAAGCCUUGCAGUGGAACAUGACUGACAAUGAGGUUUUGCUCUUCUGAGAUAUGAAGAGACCAGGUGGUCAUUCCUACCAGGGAGAAGUGAGGCUUAGUGGCAUGGCUGUCCUGGGCAAGAAGACAAAAAAAGCCACUUCAAGUAGUUCAGCUAGUCGCAAAUCUGAAUCAAGUCAGCAGAACAUCACAGACAUGGAGAUGAGAGAAAUGCAGAUGAUUUGAACGUUGAGAGUGUGAAAUCUUCAGGAAGUUGCUAGAAGAUCUGGGAUAUCUACAAAAAGAAAACAAGCAAAACUCAUCACUGCUACCAAGAGGAGGAGAGAGUUACAGAUGCUCAGGAUUUGAGUACAAAGGAAUAGGAAUGGAGCUGAACAGAUUCAACACCAGAAAUGACGAUUGGAUCUCAAAAUAUGAAAGACCCUUCAUUCAAUAAAGCAACAGGAUUGGCUCUGAGGAGAGAUGAAGGAAACGGGCAGCGUGGACAGUAUUCAAGACACAAUGUUCAAAAGUUGCUGCUGGGAUGGAAGCAAAGAAGAAAGCCCUGGAGACGGGUGAGUGCUGGGACACAGACACUAUCCUGGAGGGGCCUGGGACAGGGUGUGUAACCAUAGCGACCAGUGGGUCCUUUCCCCACUGUGGUCCUGGCUCGCAUGCACAGGGGGAAACCGAUCGCCAUGUUUGGGGUCAGGAAGGAAUUUUCCUCCAGGGCAGAUUGGCCAGAGACCCUGGAGGUUUUUCGCCUUCCUCUGGGGCAUCGAGCAGGGACCAGCCCUUAGGGCUAUUUAGGAACAGACAUAAUAAAAUCAAUCAGAGAGAA